CGAACGCUGGCGGCGUGCCUAAUACAUGCAAGUAGAACGCUGAAGGAGGAGCUUGCUUCUCUGGAUGAGUUGCGAACGGGUGAGUAACGCGUAGGUAACCUGCCUGGUAGCGGGGGAUAACUAUUGGAAACGAUAGCUAAUACCGCAUAAGAGUAGAUGUUGCAUGACAUUUGCUUAAAAGGUGCAAUUGCAUCACUACCAGAUGGACCUGCGUUGUAUUAGCUAGUUGGUGGGGUAACGGCUCACCAAGGCGACGAUACAUAGCCGACCUGAGAGGGUGGUCGGCCACACUGGGACUGGGACACGGCCCAGACUCCUACGGGAGGCAGCAGUAGGGAAUCUUCGGCAAUGGACGGAAGUCUGACCGAGCAACGCCGCGUGAGGGAAGGAGGGUUUCGGAUCGUAAAGCUCUGUUGUAAGAGAAGAACGAGUGUGAGAGUGGAAAGUUCACACUGUGACGGUAUCUUACCAGAAAGGGACGGCUAACUACGUG
rnacentral:rRNA from 1 species